UACGGGGGGGGCAAGCGUUGUUCGGAAUUACUGGGCGUAAAGGGCUCGUAGGUGGCCAACUAAGUCAGACGUGAAAUCCCUCGGCUUAACCGGGGAACUGCGUCUGAUACUGGAUGGCUUGAGUUUGGGAGAGGGAUGCGGAAUUCCAGGUGUAGCGGUGAAAUGCGUAGAUAUCUGGAGGAACACCGGUGGCGAAGGCGGGUCUCUGGGCCGUAACUGACGCUGAGGAGCGAAAGCGUGGGGAGCGAACAGG
rnacentral:rRNA from 1 species